GCCUCAGUACGGCGAGUGAAGCGGCAAAAGCUCAAAUUUGAAAUCUAGCACCUUCGGUGUUUGAGUUGUAAUUUGAAGAUGGUAACCUUGGGUUUGGCUCUUGUCUAUGUUCCUUGGAACAGGACGUCAUAGAGGGUGAGAAUCCCGUCUGAUGAGAUGCCCAUUCCUAUGUAAGGUGCUAUCGAAGAGUCGAGUUGUUUGGGAAUGCAGCUCUAAGUGGGUGGUAAAUUCCAUCUAAAGCUAAAUAUUGGCGAGAGACCGAUAGCGAACAAGUACAGUGAUGGAAAGAUGAAAAGAACUUUGAAAAGAGAGUGAAAAAGUACGUGAAAUUGUUGAAAGGGAAGGGCAUUAGAUCAGACUUGGUGUUUUACGAUUAUCUUCUCUUCUUGAGUUGUGCACUCGUAUUUCACUGGGCCAGCAUCGAUUCGGAUGGCAAGAUAAUGGCAGUUGAAUGUGGCUUCACUUCGGUGGAGUGUUAUAGCUUCUGCUGAUAUUGCCUGUCUGGAUCGAGGGCUGCGUCUUUUGACUAGGAUGCUGGCGUAAUGAUCUAAUGCCGCCCGUCU
rnacentral:rRNA from 1 species